rnacentral:tRNA from 2 species
GGCGCCAUGGUCAAGCGGUUAAGACACCACCCUUUCACGGUGGUAUCAGGGGUUCAAAUCCCCUUGGCGUCA